rnacentral:rRNA from 1 species
UACGUAGGGGGCAAGCGUUGUCCGGAUUUACUGGGCGUAAAGGGCGCGUAGGCGGCGUGACAAGUCACUUGUGAAAUCUCUGAGCUUAACUCAGAACGGCCAAGUGAAACUGUUGUGCUAGAGUGCAGAAGGGGCAAUCGGAAUUCUUGGUGUAGCGGUGAAAUGCGUAGAUAUCAAGAGGAACACCUGAGGUGAAGACGGGUUGCUGGGCUGACACUGACGCUGAGGCGCGAAAGCCAGGGGAGCGAACGGG